rnacentral:rRNA from 2 species
GUGCGAGACCGAUAGCGAACAAGUACCGUGAGGGAAAGAUGAAAAGAACUUUGAAAAGAGAGUUAAAGAGUACCUGAAACUGCUGAAAGGGAAGCGAAUCGUAUCCAGUGUCUAUAAUCUGCGGCAUAUUUCAUUGGCGGCGGUGCGCGUGCUUUUGCGUCGGAAGCGGCUUUUGUUGCUCUGUGCUUUUGCUGUGCGUGGUGUUGCUGGUGCCCUGUGUUGCGGUGGGACGUCAGAGUCAGUUUGUAUGCUGCGGGAAAUGGCUGCCGAGGAGGUAGGUCGAGAUUUCGGUCUUGGCUGUUAUAUCUUGGUGGUUUGUUGUCGUGGUUGAGACUGAGGUGCCUACAAUGUGCUUUUGAGUGUACCGGGUUCUCAUUUGGUGGACUGUUUGGAUAGCUUGCUAUGCUUGUGGUUUUUUCAUCNGGUGAUUGANUCUGGNGGNANCUUGUUGCUGUUCGGGACUUUGA